CAUGCAAGUCGAACGAGCUCUUAGGAGCUAGUGGCGGACGGGUGAGUAACACGUGAGAAUCUGCCUCAAGGUCGGGGACAACAGUUGGAAACGACUGCUAAUACCCGAUAUGCCUAAGGGUGAAAGAUUUAUUGCCUAGAGAAGAGCUCGCGUCCGAUUAGCUAGUUGGUAGAGUAAAAGCCUACCAAGGCGACGAUCGGUAGCUGGUCUGAGAGGAUGAGCAGCCACACUGGGACUGAGACACGGCCCAGACUCCUACGGGAGGCAGCAGUGGGGAAUUUUCCGCAAUGGGCGAAAGCCUGACGGAGCAAUACCGCGUGAGGGAGGAAGGCUUUUGGGUUGUAAACCUCUUUUGUCAGGGAAGAAAAUUUGACGGUACCUGAAGAAAAAGCAUCGGCUAACUCCGUGCCAGCAGCCGCGGUAAUACGGAGGAUGCAAGCGUUAUCCGGAAUAAUUGGGCGUAAAGGGUCCGCAGGUGGCCAUUCAAGUCUGCUGUCAAAGACCGUGGCUCAACCACGGAAAGGCAGUGGAAACUGUUUAGCUAGAGUACGGUAGGGGUAGAGGGAAUUCCCAGUGUAGCGGUGAAAUGCGUAGAUAUUGGGAAGAACACCGGUGGCGAAAGCGCUCUACUGGGCCGAAACUGACA
rnacentral:rRNA from 1 species